rnacentral:rRNA from 1 species
GCGAACGCUGGCGGCAGGCUUAACACAUGCAAGUCGAGCGGGCCUUUCGGGGUCAGCGGCGGACGGGUGAGUAACGCGUGGGAACGUGCCCUCUGGUUCGGAAUAACUCAGGGAAACUUGAGCUAAUACCGGAUACGCCCUUUUGGGGAAAGGCUUGCUGCCGGAGGAUCGGCCCGCGUCUGAUUAGCUAGUUGGUGAGGUAACGGCUCACCAAGGCGACGAUCAGUAGCUGGUCUGAGAGGAUGAUCAGCCACACUGGGACUGAGACACGGCCCAGACUCCUACGGGAGGCAGCAGUGGGGAAUAUUGGACAAUGGGCGCAAGCCUGAUCCAGCCAUGCCGCGUGAGUGAUGAAGGCCUUAGGGUUGUAAAGCUCUUUUAUCCGGGACGAUAAUGACGGUACCGGAGGAAUAAGCCCCGGCUAACUUCGUG